UAGUUUUUACCAUUUAAUCUAAAAUGUACAAUCUUCUCCAGAACGUAUACAAAUCACUAAACAUAAUCAUUCAUUGACUACAUAAAUUAAAGUGCAACAAAUACAAUAAUGGAAACACAUAAAAAUAAGUAUUUGAACAUUAUAGGGAAAAUAUAGAAUCUCAAGAUUCUUAUUCAUCCACUUGAAAUUUUCAAGUUCAACCAAGCUAUUUUGUUUCCCGAGCCUCUAGUGAGUUACAGACAGAGUUCAAAAAGGUCAAAUCUUUGAUGAUUCCAUCAUCUAUGAUUAAGUUGCAGCAGAAGAUCCUGAAUUUGAAACUUUCUACACCAAAAAUAUUAUAUUAAACGAAGGUAUUCGUGCUUGGAUGGCAGCUAAAGAAAAAAUAUAGGCUAGGCGUAAGCGUAAAUCGAUAUGCUGAAAUAAAAAAUACGAAGCACCGAUGAUAUAGAAAUAGUGAAUCCUAAUGUAAAUAGAGUUUAGGUUCGAAUUCGAUAUUCUUCCAAUAUCAAUUUCGGUUGAUAGUGGUUUUUUAUCAAAUCGAUCUAUUUUCUGUUCAAUUUUUUGGUAAUCAGUAUCAGGAAGAAGGCUAUGUUAAAUUUUAAGCAUAAAUCCCAACACAAAUAUUUAGCACAUGUUAAACGAUUGAUAAAAAGGAGAAUCUAUAUAACAAUACAUUACAAGUUAGACAAAAUAAUCGAGAAAAUUCAAGAUUAUAGACAAAAUCUUUUUUGAAACUUGGUCUUGACUUUACCUAAAUAUUUCUCCUCCUUCCUUGGAUGUAUUCUCCACGUGCUUUGAGUUUUAUCCCACAAUAUUAAGAAAAAUUAAAGGAAGAAGAAAGAAAAGAAGAUGAAAGAAGAAGAAUUAGAAUGGAAAAAUCCUAUUUUAGCUCCUAGUUUUAAUAUUUCAAAUAGGUAUUUUCAAAAAUGUCUAAUUUCAUGGGUGUCAAUUGAAAAAUGUCGACUUUUUAAAUUUAGCACUAAAUUGUUUAUUAAGCCCUUUAUGAAAACAGAAGCAAUUUAUUUAUUUUUUCAAUUUGUUGCGGAUUUCGAAAAGUAGUUUUCAUGAGAAGCUACAUUAAAAUGAAAUUCUCGACAUUUCAAAUGUCAUUCUCGAUAUUUGAAUUCCGUUUAUAUUUUAAAAGUACACAUGUCAAAUCACAAUAUUAAAUGUUCUUGGCAUUCUAAAUCUCUAGAAUGACAUUUCAUUCUGAACAUGACAAUUCUCAACACUUAAAAUGUAAUUUUCGACAUUUUUGUGUCAAUGAGAAAAAUAGCAUUAAUUGUGAUUGGACAUGUGCACUAUUAAAAUAAAUAUGGUAGAUUAUGUGUCCAAAAUUUAUUGGCCAAUAAAAUUUUUACAAAAAUGUCCAUUUCUUGUUUUUGUGUGGAAUCAUAAAUUGUUCACAGGGGUAUGUUGGUCCAAAAUAUUCCAAAAUGGACAUUUUUGCAAGAAUUUGUGAAAGUGGACAUUUUUGCAAAUGAACAUGUGAAAGUGGACAUUUCAAGCAAUUUCCUCUAUUUCAAAUUCAAACCUAGAAAAUUUGAAACCAAGUCCUUGAAGUUUUGAAAAGAAAUAAAAAGGUCUCCAUUUUUAUUUUUUAUUUUUUUAAAUGGCGCCUAAACGCCAACUCUCAUCCAAAUGGUUUCAUUUAUUAUUAUUUUUUUCUUUUUCUUUUGCACACAAGUCCUCUAUAAAUUUGCGCUCAAUGUUCUCAACUUUAAUCUUGUACAAUUUGGUCAUUGAAUUUUGACUUUCAUUUCAAUCAUACCUCCAAAAUUUCAACCCAAGGUUCAUCAACUUUCUCCCAUUGUGCAAUUUGGUCACCAACUCCAUGUUUUUGUACGCUUUUGAUCAAUUUUCUCUCCCUUUUGCCUUGUUCUCUUUCUGUUUGGCGUUUAUGACCAACAAAAAUCAAAAUUAGCCAAUUGUAAAUAGAAAAUCACUCAACUUAAUCAAUAAUUAGCUUGUUAAAAUAUUUAAUAAUUGUACAAAAAUGCACCUAUCAAAUACUUCCAAACUUAUGUUCUUGCUCAUCCCAAGCAAGAUUAUCUACAACAUAAAUCAAGCAAACGUGAUAAUAAUUAACACAUUAGAUAGCUUGCCAAAAAUAUCGAAGAGUGUAAAAUUGUAUAGUCAAUUCACAAAUAUGCUCCAAAUAAUGCAAGCAAAAAUAAUUUAAUCUUAUCCAAUAUUUGAUCGGUGUGUGCGCUCGUACAAAGUCACUUUCAAUCAUCAUCUAAAUUAAGAAAAAGUUGUCAAGACAGAAGAAAUUUCAAAUUAGCACAAACCCGACCUUUAGUGGUCAAAUAUUUCCUUUCUACUCGUGAAAUUCACACACUCAAAUAGGUAAUCCUUUUUUUUUGGCCCCCGGGUGUAAAUCUAAAGGCUUCUAUCAAAUCACCCAUUUCAUUUCCCGCUCUUGUUCGGCUGGGCCUGACUAGCAAUCUCAACAUCUAGACAUGUAAUGAUUCCACACUAAUGAGUGCUUCAACAUUCAAGUUUAUACUAAGUAAUUCAAAGGCACUACUUAUAAAAGCCCAAUUAUCAAAUAUAAUUGCACAAUAAUAAUUUUUUUUCCCUUCUUUCAAUUAAAUCUCAUAUUUUACCUUACUCCCCUUGAACUUUCUUUUUAUUACACUACAUUUCAUUCCUGUUAUCUUCUAGUAAACUCUCAGUGAUUGAUCUGGGCUAAUACUUCCUGGGUUACAGAUUCCCAGGGCUUACAGUAGAGCAACAACAACAGCUAAUCUACAGGAAAUUACUCAGCAGCUUCAGGGUUCUAACAUUGAUCUACAGACAGAAAAUUCUCAAACGAUUCAAAUUUCACAAACUAAAUUACCAAAUAUACACAAAGACAGACGUAUGUCUUCUAGAUAGAUUUAUACAUAUCCGUGUGCACUAUCUGUUGCAAUCAUGGGCUCUUCUGCCUCCCCUUUCUCAAAUCCCAUUUCAUAUUUUUCAUCAUAUUGAGUUUAUGCUAAAAAGGGAUCAUCAAUUGAAUUGUCCAAGAUAACAAAACACAAAAAAGAAUGGUGCAGGUAAUGUUGAUAACAAAAACAUGACAGGCUAAAAAAUCUAAAUUUUUAUGUAUACUCCACUCAAUUUUUCAGUAUGAAGAAUUAUGACAUGUUAUUGCCUAAUAUUUACGUUUCUUCCACUCAAUUAUACAAUCUGGUGGACAAGUUUAAACAGUUUAUUAGUUUAUUAUCCUCAACUAUUCAAUUAACUAAAAUUCCCAUUACAGCAAAUAGGAAGAAAAGAUAACAUUCAAAAAGCCAGCUAACGCAAAUGUUCAAUUUUAUUUUCCUUAAAUCCUGAAGAGUAUAACAUAGCGAAGAGUUAUAAAAUUGUGUUAAUUAAAUGAUAAAGAGGGAAUGUUACUUGACAUACACCAUGUGAAAAGCGAGCCAUCGAAGGCGGCGGCAGUAGUGUGCUCACAUCCACAAGCAAUAUGAAGCCACUAGAAUUUAUGUCGGCGGGACAACAGAUUGCGCUCUUCGUGGGGACAUUUCCCCGUUGUGAAUCCCCAAAUAGCUCAUUGAUCUCCAUAUUUCUUUACUACUUAUUAUCAAUUCCGCACAUCCUAGAAGAAAUCAUAAAACCAAUGUAGAAAAUGGAUAACUAACUAUGACUGAAAUCAAUUUGGGGAAUGGGAAAUGAGAAAUUAGUAAAGUCAAUUGUCACCUACGGAAGAAUUGAGCCACGAACAGUUAAAUCGAGAUGGGUCUUAGACGGAAAGUUGGAAACUGAGUUUUUAUUUUUUUAUUUUUUUUGGCAUUCAUUACCUUAGUUCUUCGAUCUCC
rnacentral:lncRNA from 1 species